AUAUUCUUGUUUCUCUUCAUCACGUAUAAAUCUUUCGCCUUUUACUAAAGAUUUCCGUGGAGAGAAACGAACGAGAUUCUGUUUGAAUUUUUGAUACUCUGCUGAUUGGCGGGGU
ensembl:snRNA U5 U5 spliceosomal RNA